GAUGAAGAACGCAGCGAAAUGCGAUAAGUAGUGUGAAUUGCAGAAUUCAGUGAAUCAUCGAAUCUUUGAACGCACAUUGCGCCCCAUGGUAUUCCGUGGGGCAUGCCUGUUCGAGCGUCAUUUACCCCCUCAAGCUCCGCUUGGUGUUGGGCGCCUGUCCCGCUUCGCGCGCGGACUCGCCCCAAAGGUAUUGGCAGCGGUCGUGCCAGCUUCUCGCGCAGCACAUUGCGCUUCUCGAGGCACCGGUGGGCCCGCGUCCAUCAAGCUCACCCCCCCAGUUUGACCUCGGAUCAGGUAGGGAUACCCGCUGAACUUAAGCAUAUCAAUAAGCGGAGGA
rnacentral:misc_RNA from 1 species